AGCAGCCGAGUUCGCGCCGCCGGUAGGUGCUGCCAUGCCAGGGGGCGGGAUCGUGGAGCGCCUCGCAGAACCGCACGAAAGCAAAAACAAAGCCAUCUCUCCGGAGCAGAAAUAGAACAGACGUGGCCGGGGAAAGCCAAAUAUUUGUGAGAUGAUGUGAACAAAGGGGGAAAAGUCAAUCCAGGGAAGUUUGAGUUUCUGGUUGGAGGCUUCAGCGGCUCUGAUCGCUGGAUACUUUAAGAGAACAUCCUUUGCCCCCGCUCUCCCUCUCUCCCCGAAGAAAAAUAAAUCCUUGGCAAAAUGAGACUUGACGGCAUGAAAAGAAGGUCUCCAGACUGUCCCAGCUGGCGCGGGCGGGGCCGGGGCCGAGGUGCCGCUUGGUGACACUGCAGCCGCGGCUCAGCACUGUCACCCAGAAAGGCCCGCCGACGUCUGUAUGCAGGGAACGUGGCUCUUAGCAGAGCCUGGACAGGCGCAGGGCCAAGGAAGUCUUUGUUUUUGUUUCUUUCUCUAGCCCUUCCUGCCAAUACAUCAGGGAUAUAACUCCUUGGUGUUUCUGCCUUACAAUCGCUCCUUAUACCCCACCCAGAUCCUCAGCACUGCAGCUCCCACUGCCACUGCCCGCUGUGAGUCACCUCCCCCUCUCCCUCCCUCUCUCAACCUCCCCGCUCACCCCCAUCUAUGUAAAAAAGCCAUAAAGCCUCUCUCCAAUCGCUUUCUCGGAGGGAGUUUUUGCAACCCCCACAACACAGGUUGAUUGGAAAGGUCUCUCUCCCGGAUAACAACAAUUCAAUGUGCCUUGACAUUUUAAUAGCCUGCCGUCCUGGUGAACACAAUCGAGCAAGGCAGUGAAGCAAACAUCAUUAGGUGGCUGGACUCAGACACAUCACGCUCCAGUUUGGGUUCCAAGGUGCUUCUCUCUGGAUUUUCACCUGCCUUGCCAAAAAUGAUUGAUUACGCUGGGCCAACUGGGUGUCCGGCAAUACCCAACAAAUGACUUUGGCCCCUAACAGCAGGUCUUGGCCAGACAGAAAUCAAUAUUUCACCAUUAAAAUCUAUCAAAGAAGAGUUAAGGCACCAUCUGUCCCUGCCGCCUCUCUAUGGUGUGUGAACAUUAAAUCCGACACUUGUACUACAUGGGUAAUCAAUAUAUAGUGGUUCACAGAUCAUUUGUGGUUCCCUUUUAGCAGUGAUGGAUGUCUGGAAUCGUUGUGAUUCAUUUUGUCAGACCAUUAAACAAGAUUCUGUCCAGUU
rnacentral:lncRNA from 1 species